CUGGUAGUCCACGCCGUAAACGAUGUCGACUUGGAGGUUGUGCCCUUGAGGCGUGGCUUCCGGAGCUAACGCGUUAAGUCGACCGCCUGGGGAGUACGGCCGCAAGGUUAAAACUCAAAUGAAUUGACGGGGGCCCGCACAAGCGGUGGAGCAUGUGGUUUAAUUCGAUGCAACGCGAAGAACCUUACCUGGUCUUGACAUCCACAGAACCUUGUAGAGAUACGAGGGUGCCUUCGGGAACUGUGAGACAGGUGCUGCAUGGCUGUCGUCAGCUCGUGUUGUGAAAUGUUGGGUUAAGUCCCGCAACGAGCGCAACCCUUAUCCUUUGUUGCCAGCGGUCCGGCCGGGAACUCAAAGGAGACUGCCAGUGAUAAACUGGAGGAAGGUGGGGAUGACGUCAAGUCAUCAUGGCCCUUACGACCAGGGCUACACACGUGCUACAAUGGCGCAUACAAAGAGAAGCGACCUCGCGAGAGCAAGCGGACCUCAUAAAGUGCGU
rnacentral:rRNA from 1 species